CUUCAACCACACAUCUCGGUACAUAGCAACAACUUCUAAUUUUUCAAUCUUUUCUUCUUUUAUCCUUGUCUUAUAUUCUACUACCACUUUCUCCAAUUGUUGUUUCAAAUCUUCCAAUUGUCUUUUGGCAUUUCUCUCACUGAUUGCAUAAUCUUUCAACCAUUUUCUCAAUUUCUCAACCUCCUCUCGUGUUUGAUCUCUUUCUUGUCUUCUCAAAUAUAAGUAGUACCUAAUUUUUGUCCAAUUAAUAAUAAUAAUAAUAUAUUUAAAUAUUUUUACAAUCAUUUUCAAAAUUACCAUUAUUUUAUAUUCAGAUUUAAGUAUAUAUUAAAAAUAAAAUAAAAAGGAAAAAGAAAUAAAAUAUUUUUUAAUUGAUCUGCAACUAUUGUUGGGCACACGUUUCCUUCGGUUUCCUUUCAACCCAGCAUCACUCAAAAAAAACAAUUGCUCAGAAACAACUUGCAAAGACCCAUCUUUUAUCGUCUAUAACUUGUGAAGAUCGCUAUUGCAAACAUGUUAUAAACCAGACCCAUACUUUAUCGUUUAUAACUUGGGAAGAUCCCUGUUGCAAACAUGUUAUAAACCGGUUUCUUUGAUUAUUUUUUUAGCUUAAUAAAGGAAUGCAAUACACGUCAGGCUUCUUUUUUUCCCUUAAUGGUACCUUGCUUAAAUUUUAUUACAAAAACAGUGUAAAAUCCAAUGAAUUUUUGUUGAGUAACAAUACAAAAUCCAGAACAGUAUUCGUACAAUGAAUGAAAACAUUAGCCGUUUCUCUUAUAAAUUGAGGCAAACAGAACUUAUAGAGGGAAGGAAAAUUUUCUAAAACAAUCAGAAAACCAGAGAAAGGUAGAAGAUAGAGUUGUUUUUAGAGAAACAGAUCUUACCCAUAGCAAACAGAUCCAUCAAAUCCAUUCAGCAA
rnacentral:lncRNA from 1 species